UUCUCGGUCUCCUCCCUGGCAGUGCGCGGCUGGGCAGCGAAGAGAGAGGAGCGUUCGUUCCUCGCUCCGGAGUUUGGCUGGAAGGAGAGAAAGAGAGAGAAGAGAGAGGGGGUCGUCGGGGGCGGAGAUGGGCCUGUCCCGAAAAGAGCCUUUCCUCCUCCUUCUUGGGGUGUCCGCCCUCCUGCUGGGGGGAUCCGCCGGCUCCUCCUCCCACUCCCUGCGCUAUUUCUACACUUCUGUCUCUGAGCCCGGGGAGAAGGUGCCCCAGUUCUUCUCGGUGGGCUACGUGGACGACCAGCAGUUCGUCUCCUAUGACGCCAAAGCCAAGAGGCGCGUCCCCGCAGUGCCCUGGAUAAGGAAGGUGGACAAGGAGGACCCUCAGUACUGGGAGCGGAACAGCCAGGUUGCGUGGAAUCGGGAGCAGAACUUCCGAGUGGACCUGGGCACCCUGUUGGGCUACUACAACCAGAGCGGAGGGGCUCACACUUUACAGGAGAUGUAUGGCUGUGAGCUGAGGAAAGACGGGAGCAAAGGAGGGUAUUUCCAGUCUGCCUACGACGGGAGGGACUACAUCAGCUUUGACAAGGAGACCCUCACCUGGACGGCAGCCGAAGUCCCAGCCCAGAACACCAAGAGGAAGUGGGAGGCUGACCCUGCCUUUGCCCAGAGCAGGAAGGCCUACCUGGAGGAGAUCUGCAUUGAGUGGCUGCAGAGACACCUGGAGUACGGGAAGGAGACCCUGCUGAGGACAGACAAUCCAGAAGUGAAGGUGACACGCAAGGAGGACUAUGACGGCAUGGAGACCUUGAUCUGCCGGGUGGGGGGCUUCUACCCCAAGGACAUCGACAUCGACUGGACAAGGGAUGGGGAGGUCUGGCUGCAGGAUGUCUUCCACGGCCUGGUGUCCCCCAACUCAGAUGGGACUUACUACACCUGGCGGAGCGUCAAGGUGGACCCCAAGGAGAGGGAACGGUACAAAUGCCACGUGGAGCACGAUGGGCUUCCAAACCCUGUGGACGUGGCCUGGGAGGAGCCUGAUUCCAACUUGGGGCUCAUCAUCGGGUGUGUCGUGGGGGUCCUCCUCCUGAUAGCUGUGAUGGCUGGGAUUGCUGUGUAUUUCAAAAAAAGUCAAGAUGGAUACAAAGCAGCUGCAGCAAGUGACCAAGGAUCCAACAGCUCUGGGACAGGGACUGCUGUGCCCAUCUAGGAACCUCAAAGCAGACCCACUCUAGAAAAAAAGAGAAGAAGACAUAAAAACACAACUAGAAAGAGGAGCAUAAAGGGUAUACAUAUGAAUGUAUUAUUAUUAAUUUACUUGAAGAAGACCUAGUCUAAACCGGUCGUGAUCUACUGUGACCUACUUGCUCUUCAGCACAAUGAACUGAUUGAAUAAGUGAACAAUUAUAUAUAGAACAUAUAUUGUUGAGGGAUCUACUGUGACCUACUUGCUCUUCAGCACAAUGAACUGAUUGAAUAAGUGAACAAUUAUAUAUAGAACAUAUAUUGUUGAGGGAUCUACUGUGACCUACUUGCUCUUCAGCACAAUGAACUGAUUGAAUAAGUGAACAAUUAUAUAUAGAACAUAUAUUGUUGAGCUACAGCCAUUUUUGAUGUAUGGAUUAUGUUUAUUACAAUUGUGAAUUCUGAA